CCUGGUGGCUCAGAGGUUAAAGCGUCUGCCUGCAAUGCAGAAGACCUGGGUUCAAUCCCUGGGUCAGGA
rfam:TPA: Bos taurus chromosome 6, whole genome shotgun sequence.